rnacentral:rRNA from 1 species
UCUUGGACAAUGGGGGAAACCCUGAUCCAGCCAUGCCGCGUGAGUGAUGAAGGCCUUCGGGUUGUAAAACUCUUUCGCGCACGACGAUAAUGACGGUAGUGCGAGAAGAAGCUCCGGCUAACUUCGUGCCAGCAGCCGCGGUAAUACGAAGGGGGCUAGCGUUGUUCGGAAUUACUGGGCGUAAAGCGCGCGCAGGUGGCUAUCCAAGUCAGUGGUGAAAGCCCGGAGCUCAACUCCGGAACUGCCAUUGAAACUGUUUAGCUUGAGGACGAGAGAGGUGAGUGGAAUUCCCAGUGUAGAGGUGAAAUUCGUAGAUAUUGGGAAGAACACCGGUGGCGAAGGCGGCUCACUGGCUCGUUCUGACGUCAGGCGCGACA